UCUCCUUCUGCAGUGCUCUCUCGAUGAAAGAAAAUGAUGAAGAAAGAAAAGAUGCUACCAGCAGCACAGUCUACGUGUUGUGUCUUUGUGUGUCUUUCGUUGUGUUUAUGCCUCAUCUGUCUUUCUUUUCUUUUUCUCCCCACAGGCAGCAAACAGGGGUGGAGCUGCAGCCGCUGACCUCAGAAGUGUAGCGUCCUGCAGACAGUGUCUAAGCCAGAGCUUAUCCCCAACAGCAGCAGCAGCAGCAGCCCUGAGGAGAGAGGCAGUAAUGACCAUAAUGAUGAUGAAUGAAGCAGCGAAACGGUGACAGUGAUGUUCCCAGAUCCCGGAAAUGAACUGGUGAUUUCUCUCACGCUUGAUGUUCGCUGGGACAAACAACGCAGUCACCACUUCCAUCAUACGUGCAGCACCGUGAUGACUCAUCAGUUUGGAAAUAUAGGCUCACUCUCACUUCACGCUGACGAGCCG